rnacentral:snRNA from 1 species
GUGCUCCCUUUGGCAGUGUACAUACGAAAAUUGGAAUGAUACAGACAUUUACCUGGCCCCUGUGCAAGGAUGAUAUGCAAAUUCAUGAAGCAUUCCAUAUGUGU